rnacentral:rRNA from 1 species
CCUACGGGUGGCAGCAGUGAGGAAUAUUGGUCAAUGGGCGGAAGCCUGAACCAGCCAAGCCGCGUGAGGGAAGAAGGUACAGCGUAUCGUAAACCGCUUUUGUCAAGGGACAAAGGCGGGGACUAGUCCCCGGAUGAGAGUACCUGACGAAAAAGCAUCGGCUAACUCCGUGCCAGCAGCCGCGGUAAUACGGAGGAUGCGAGCGUUAUCCGGAUUUAUUGGGUUUAAAGGGUGCGCAGGCGGCCUGUUAAGUCAGCGGUAAAAGUCCGGGGCUCAACCCCGGCGAGCCGUUGAAACUGGCGGGCUGGAGUUGGAGAGAAGUAGGCGGAAUGUGCGGUGUAGCGGUGAAAUGCUUAGAGAUCGCGCAGAACCCCGAUUGCGAAGGCAGCGUACCGGCUCCACACUGACGUUGAGGCACGAAAGCGUGGGUAUCGAACAGGAUUAGAUACCCUUGUAGUC